rnacentral:tRNA from 1 species
GUCCUCGUAGUUCAACGGAUAGAAUUCAAGUUUCCGAAACUUGCGAUGGAGGUUCGAUUCCUCCCGGGGACA